rnacentral:rRNA from 1 species
AUGCUGGUAAUGAAGGAAGAAAAGCACCGCUCAUGGCCACUUCUUCAGAAAUGGUAUACCAAGGAUCCGCUCAAAGCUAAAGGCAUUCACAAGAAGUAUGACUACAUCGUUGCUUUUGAGACUAAUCGCCAGCGCAGGGACAACCCAGCUCUUCCAGCCAGGUCUACAUCGACAGAUUUAAUCUUUGUUGAGCCGGAUGACAUUCUUGAUGUUGAUUCUGAGGCGAAUUCUCUUGAGUUCAAGAAAGGCGAAGAAAAUGAUGCCGAAGAUCAACCUAUAGGUCCAUAUACUCACACCGCUCCCGAAGAUAGAGCUGCAGGAGUAGAUGUUGCUGCCGAUUCUUCUCCGCGAGCUACUUCAUCUGAGAAGGCUGGAUCUUCUUCGUCAAGCAGCUCCAGUUCUUCAUCUUCUUCGGGCGUGUAA